UGCGUAGGCGGUGCACCAAGUCGGGUGUGAAAUCCCUCGGCUUAACCGAGGAAUGGCAUUCGAUACUAGUGCGCUAGAGGGUAAAAGGGGCAAGCGGAAUUCUAGGUGUAGCGGUGGAAUGCGUAGAUAUCUGGGAGAACGCCGAGGGCGAAGGCAGCUUGCUGGGUUACUUCUGACGCUGAGGCACGAAAGCUAGGGGAGCAAACAGGAUUAGAUACCCUGGUAGUCCUAGCCGUAAACGAUGAGCGCUUUGUUCCGGAAGGCCUGAUCCUUUCGGAGCCGUAGCUAAUGUGUUAAGCGCUCCGCCUGGGGAGUAUGGUCGCAAGGCUAAA
rnacentral:rRNA from 1 species